GCAGGGAGAAAUGAGAGGAGCGUUAUUGCGUGCUGUGACAUGCCUCAUCCUAGAAUCUUCCAUGAUCAUUCACAAGAAUAAAGGCCAAUCUAAUUAAAAUGAACACAGAAGUGUGAAAAAUAAAGGGCAAAGAAACUCCAAGAAAAUAGAAGCUGUCUGCAAAUACACAUCAUACCCCAAGGCCAUCAAGAAGGAACAGCAAUAACCAGAAAUUGCCAGAGCAGCAAAAAUUGGAAUAAAGUCAUCUGAAAUGGCUCAGGGCCUAUCACACUCUUGAAUCACCAUAUGAUCCAAGGUGACCAACUGCAUUUACAGCCCCUGGAUUAGAGCUUCUCUAAGACCGAGGGCAAAGCCCAGCACCUCUGAUGGAUAAACACUGCCCUCCAGGUUCCCCUCCAGCUCCUCUGCUGACUUCAUUCAGCUUCUUCACUGGACCAGACUUGGGUUUGAUCAUGAAGAAUUAUGCUGUAGACCAAGUGGCUCAACUGGUGGUGAAAACAAGAGGGAUACAUUGUGUUUAGGCCUUCUUGGAACCAAAGGUCUUCAACAUGAAAUGAUGGGCUCCAGUUUAUUAGAAGAAUUGUUCACUCUAAAAGAAAUAUUUCUACUAGAACCCCGUGCUCUGAAGACCAUUUCCUCCUUCUGAAGAAGAUGAAUGCUUCCUCUUCUAUAAUAAGAACAAUGUACCUGCUUACCUUCCCCUUUUCCUUGAAUGCUAGGAAGCUCUUCUCCUAUAGUUAAGUUUCAAAUUUAUAAAAUAGUGUAGUUACCUCA